rnacentral:rRNA from 1 species
AAACCAACAGGGAUUGCCUUAGUAACGGCGAGUGAAGCGGCAAAAGCUCAAAUUUGAAAUCCCCUCGGGGAAUUGUAAUUUGAAGAUUGUGUUUUGGAGACGACCAUGUCUAUGUUCCUUGGAACAGGACGUCACAGAGGGUGAGAAUCCCGUGCGGCAUGGCCCCCGUCUCCUUAUAAAGCACUCUCGACGAGUCGAGUUGUUUGGGAAUGCAGCUCAAAGUGGGUGGUAAAUUCCAUCUAAAGCUAAAUACAGGCGAGAGACCGAUAGCGAACAAGUACAGUGAUGGAAAGAUGAAAAGCACUUUGAAAAGAGAGUGAAACAGUACGUGAAAUUGUUGAAAGGGAAGGGCAUGCCGUCAGAUUGUCAGUGUGGGUAAGAAGCCGGGUAUAAAGACUAAGGAAUGUGGCCUUCGGGUGUUAUAGCCUUAGUUCAUCCCCGGUCUCUUUCCGAGGCCUGCUUUGAGGACACCGACGUAAUGACGGUACGCCGC